UGGGGAAUAUUGGACAAUGGGGGCAACCCUGAUCCAGCAAUGCCGCGUGUGUGAAGAAGGCCUGAGGGUUGUAAAGCACUUUAGUAGAUGAGGAAGGUAUACGUGUAAAUAAUGCGUAUGCUUGACGCUAGUCUAAGAAUAAGCACCGGCUAACUCUGUGCCAGCAGCCGCGGUAAUACAGAGGGUGCAAGCGUUAAUCGGAUUUACUGGGCGUAAAGGGCGCGUAGGCGGAUGAAUAAGAUAUUUGUGAAAACCCUGGGCUUAACCGAGGGAUUGCAAGUAAGACUGUUGAUCUAGAGUGCGGUAGAGGGGAGUGGAAUUUCCAGUGUAGCGGUGAAAUGCGUAGAUAUUGGAAAGAACACCAGUGGCGAAGGCGACUCUCUGGACUGACACUGACGCUGAGGCGCGAGAGCAUGGGUAGCGAACGGG
rnacentral:rRNA from 1 species